AGUCUUAUAUUCAAAAUGAUAUGAUAUAAAAUUGCAAAUUUUAAGGUAUAAUAUAAAAUUAUUAAGGCUU
rnacentral:tRNA from 1 species